UGGUUAUUGGUGUAGUGACAGCACGGCGGUUUGUGGAUCCGCAGGGAUAGGUUUGAAUCCUGUAUUUCCACCCA
rnacentral:tRNA from 1 species